CAUCAUUUUAUUUUGAUGCGCUUUGAGACUCAUUCUGAUUUUUCUAUUCUUCAGUUACAUCCGAGUUUACAGAUCGUCUACAGUUCCGGUUAAUCAAAUAUCUCGAAUCAAAAAUGCCCAAAUGUCCAAAGUGUGCGAAAGAGGUUUACCAUGCCGAGAAGAAAACAUCCAUGGGUGUCGACUGGCAUGCAACAUGUUUGAAAUGCGUCAAAUGUAACAAGACACUUCAGCCCGGACAACAUGCAGUUCACGACAACACGCCCUACUGUCACAAACCUUGCUACGCUGCUGCAUUCGGCCCUACUCUUGUUACAUGAACCACACGUCAACGAAAUUUUAUU